UAAUUCUAGCCUAAUCUUUAGAAUUGUUUUUUUUUAGGGAAAUUGUCCGAGAGCGAAAAUUUAUUUAAAUAAAAUAAGAUGAUACAGAAAUAAAAAGGUCAUCAAAAGAGGACCACAUUGUACAUUUUUUACUAGACAGACAUCACUUGACUAGUUGAUCAGCUUGUAUACCAUUUCUAGAGGAGCGAGAAUUCCAUCCAAAAAAAGACGUGACAUGCGUUGACAAAGGACUGAAACGUUUUGAGCUUCAUUCUAGCGUCCCAAAUGAACUACUCGGAUUGAUCAGAUCUAAAGUGAAUCGCUUUAAUAAUCAAUGCUGAGUCUGAAAAUAUCUGAAUUCGUUCUCCUGGGAAGGUAUCUAAGAAAAGUUUUGGCUGCUUUCGAUAUUGCUUCAAUUUCAGUUGGUAGUGCAUCAUCAUGAACAUUUUCAACAAAAUCCGAAACGCACAGGCAAACACUUUGUUGGUUGGUAACGAGAACACAAAUUUCACCCGAAUCGCCACCUUUUCGGCUACCAUCUAUC
rnacentral:lncRNA from 1 species